ensembl:lncRNA
GGGCUAGGCACAGCCCAGGGCUUGGGGAGGGGGGCUAGGCACAGCCCAGGGCUUGGGGAGGGGGGCUAGGCACAGCCCAGAGCUUGGAGAGGGGGGCUAGGGCCUUUGACUCAUCACACCAGCAGCUCCUUCUGGGUCGACAACUUCCUGCUUAACCGAACGAUGAGAUCAUCAGCAGCUUCGCUUAUGACAAGGCAGUUAAUACAAAAUGGAUAACAAAUAAGUAGGAAAUAUUAGGGUAAGAUUAGGUGAAUAACUUAUUAACAAACGCAAGACUGCUGCUCUGGAAGUGCAGCCCCCUGAUGAGGCACAGAAAGUGGAAAUGAAGGUUUGAGAAGGGGGUCCACAUAGGUUGGCCACAGAUCUCUUUGCACUCUUGCCAACUUUGUUGCUGUUUUGGCUUGGCUAGGUCAACUAGCUAGCCUGCAUUUUUACUUUGCCAUACUUGGGUCAUUAUGCCCUCAUUUACCACAUUUGUUAUUUGAAAGAUUUCAGCAAAAUCCUUUUGGUUUGUUAAUCAUAUAACUAGACUAGGGAAGCCAAAAGCGAGCUACUGGUUGCUGCACUGAACAACAGAUAUUGAAUGUUUCUUUUAAUUCCUAUGAAAAAAACAAAAAACUGUUACCAUUCAAUUCAUACCACAGUUUGGCCAACUCUCAGGUUGUGUUCAUUAGGGUGCAUGUUUGCUAAAGGUAAUUGAACAUAGAUGUUUCUUAUUGAAGUUUAGACAACCCUCCUAUUUGGGACUAUUGAACACAACCUUUAACUCAGAUAGCGCCAGGGAACAGCUGCAACUAGUGUUGCCUUUACUUUCACUCAAGUUCCUAUUUAUUUACCAGAAUAGAAUGCAGUCACUAUCUCUGAUUUCAUGUUUGUGUAACAGAAUGCCAUGCAACUAAAAUAGGUCAUUCUCCAGCUCACUGUUGGAAAGUUUUUAUAUAAGCCUAACAUCAAAGGACACUGUUUUGAAAACAUUUCUAAUGUGAUUUUCAGAAAAAGAUAACAUCCUAAUAUGAAUGAGGCUCAGCACAACAUAGCACUUUGACAGAAAUUGAUCUGUUUUUUCUUUAGCAAAAAUUUGUGAGUAUUUUCUAAACCAUUUGGUUCAGAGGAGCUGACUGCAGUCAAGCCACUCCAUCAACCACACAUCAUUUGUCUUUUCCACUCUCCCUAAAUUGGACAAUAGUUUGAGUUCCUAAUACAACAGAAUUACUUGAUAGGGGAUGUCAGUUUCAGUUAUAUUAUUCCCAUGUCUUUAUUUUCCCUGAACACCAAGCAUGCUCUGUAAAUCACAAGGUUAUUUUUGGGGAAUUUGGGAUUUUUGUACUUUUGACAUGUUUCUUACAAAGCCAUAAGGCAAUGUGGUCCCAGGUCACAAAUUCUUUAUGUCUGUCUUCUUUUGAACCAAUUAAAGCAUCUCACCAAUUUGUUUUCAAAUUUGAAGCAUAUUCCUUGAUUUUGUAAACAAUGUACAAAACAUGUAGAAAUCUGUGAAGAAAAAAGCUCUACCUGGAUAAAUGUUUGGUUUCACAUUAAAGCCUGCAUC